AUUGAACGCUGGCGGCAGGCCUAACACAUGCAAGUCGAGCGGCAGCGGGAAAGUAGCUUGCUACUUUUGCCGGCGAGCGGCGGACGGGUGAGUAAUGCCUGGGAAAUUGCCCAGUCGAGGGGGAUAACAGUUGGAAACGACUGCUAAUACCGCAUACGCCCUACGGGGGAAAGCAGGGGACCUCCGGGCCUUGCGCGAUUGGAUAUGCCCAGGUGGGAUUAGCUAGUUGGUGAGGUAAUGGCUCACCAAGGCGACGAUCCCUAGCUGGUCUGGGAGGAUGAUCAGCCACCCUGGAAGUGAGACACGGUCCAGACUACUACGGGAGGCAGCAGUGGGGAAUGUUGCACAAUGGGGGAGACCCUGAUGCAGCCAUGCCGCGUGUGUGAAGAAGGCCUUCGGGUUGUAAAGCACUUUCAGCGAGGAGGAAAGGUCAGUAGCUAAUACCUGCUGGCUGUGACGUUACUCGCAGAAGAAGCACCGGCUAACUCCGUGCCAGCCGCCGCGGUAAAAC
rnacentral:rRNA from 1 species